rnacentral:tRNA from 1 species
GUUAGUGUAGCAAAACAUGGCCCUGCAGAAGAUCUAAGCCCUUCCCAUAGGGGUUCAAAUCCCCUCACCAACU